CUUGCUCCUUUGACGUUGCGGCGGACGGGUGAGUAACACGUGGGUAACCUACCUAUAAGACUGGGAUAACUUCGGGAAACCGGAGCUAAUACCGGAUAACAUUUGGAACCGCAUGGUUCUAAAGUGAAAGAUGGUUUUGCUAUCACUUAUAGAUGGACCCGCGCCGUAUUAGCUAGUUGGUAAGGUAACGGCUUACCAAGGCGACGAUACGUAGCCGACCUGAGAGGGUGAUCGGCCACACUGGAACUGAGACACGGUCCAGACUCCUACGGGAGGCAGCAGUAGGGAAUCUUCCGCAAUGGGCGAAAGCCUGACGGAGCAACGCCGCGUGAGUGAUGAAGGGUUUCGGCUCGUAAAACUCUGUUAUUAGGGAAGAACAAACGUGUAAGUAACUGUGCACGUCUUGACGGUACCUAAUCAGAACGCCACGGCUAACUACGUGCCAGCAGCCGCGGUAAUACGUAGGUGGCAAGCGUUAUCCAGAAUUAUUGGGCGUAAAGCGCGCGUAGGCGGUUUCUUAAGUCUGAUGUGAAAGCCCACGGCUCAGCCGUGGAGGGUCAUUGGAAACUGGGAAAACUUGAGUGCAGAAGAGGAAAGUGGAAUUCCAUGUGUAGCGGUUGAAAUGCGCAGAGAUAUGGGAGGAACACCAG
rnacentral:rRNA from 1 species